AAGCAGAGAGAGUCCGAGUGGAAUGUACUCAGACGGUGAAGACAUACAGACCGCAGAAUCAAAAGCAUGAAUGCUGUAAAUGCUGUGCAUCUGUUCAUUGUGGUUUGGACCUUCACUGCUGUCUGUCAAGCUAAUGAUGAUGGCUGCAGUGUAAAGUGUCAAAAUGUGACUGGAUUUGUGGGGAAUGAAGCAACUUUCAAAUGCAGCGUCUCAUUGCAACGCACUGAAUGCUGCAUUAAACUGUAUAAGUUUCAAUACCCUAAGGGCUAUGAUGAGUCUGCAAUCUGUAAAGAAGGGAAUCUUGUGAACUACUGUGAUCACAGUUACAGCUUCACAUGCCACUACACUCCAACUAUAGCAAUGACUGAAAAAUUCAGAUUCUUUGUGCAAACAUCAUGUGGAGUAAAAACAGCAGAAUUCACUGU